rnacentral:rRNA from 1 species
UACGGAGGGGGCUAGCGUUGUUCGGAAUCACUGGGCGUAAAGCGCGCGUAGGCGGCCUUGUAAGUCAGAGGUGAAAUCCCGGGGCUCAACUCCGGAACUGCCUUUGAAACUGCAUCGCUUGAAUCCGGGAGAGGUGAGUGGAAUUCCGAGUGUAGAGGUGAAAUUCGUAGAUAUUCGGAAGAACACCAGUGGCGAAGGCGGCUCACUGGACCGGCAUUGACGCUGAGGUGCGAAAGCGUGGGGAGCAAACAGG